UUCUAUGGCCAGGCCACUCUGAACACUCCUAAUCUUGUCUGAUCUUGGAAGCUAAGUAGGGUUGGGCCUGGUCAGUACUUGGAUGGAAGAUGAUUUAAAGAAUGAAGGAGUAUUGCAU
ensembl:rRNA 5S_rRNA 5S ribosomal RNA